GAUGAACGCUGGCGGCGUGCCUAAUACAUGCAAGUCGAACGCACAGACGAGGAGUUUGUUCCUUUGACGUUAUCGGCAGACGGGAGAGACACACGUGGAUACUGUACCUAUACGACUGGGAUCAAUUCGAAACACUGGCGCUAACACCGUAUAAGAUGAUGAACCACAUCAUUUACCAGUAAGAGACAGUUUCGUCACUACUAGUAGAUGCUUCCGGGCAGAAUUGGGUAGUUGGUAAGGUAACGGCUUACCAAGGCAACGAUGCGUCGCCGACCUGAGAGGGGGUUCGGCCACACUGGAACUGGGACACGGUCCAGACUCCUACGGGAGGCAGCAGAAGGGAAUCUUCCGCAAGGGGCGAAAGCUUGACGGGGCAACGCGCGGGGAGUGAAGAAGGUCUUCGGAUCGUAAAACUCUGUUAUUGGGGAAGAAGAAAGGUGGAAGUAACAAUGCACGUCUUGACGGUACCUAAUCAGAAAGCCACGGCUAACUACGUG
rnacentral:rRNA from 1 species